GACGAACGCUGGCGGCGUGCUUAACACAUGCAAGUCGAACGGAAAGGCCCUGCUUUUGUGGGGUGCUUGAUUGGCGAACGGGUGAGUAACACGUGAGUAACCUGCACUUGACUUUGGGAUAACUUCAGGAAACUGGGGCUAAUACCGGAUAGGAGCUCCUGCUGCAUGGUGGGGGAUGGAAAGAUUCGGCGGUUGGGGAUGGACUAGCGGCUUAUCAGCUUGUUGGGGGGGUAGUGGCGUACCAAGGCUUUGAAGGGUAGCCGGCCUGGGAGGGUGACCGGCCACAUGGGGACUGAGAUACGGCCCAGUCUCCUACGGGCGGCAGCGGUGGGGAAUAUUGCACAAUGGGCGGAAGCGUGAUGCGGCAGCGCCGCGUGCGUGAUGACGGCUUUCGAGUUGUAAACCGCUUUCGCCUGUGACGAAGCGUUAGUGACGGUAAUGGGUAAAGAAGCACCGGCUAACUACGUG
rnacentral:rRNA from 1 species